GGAUUGUGGCUCAGCGGUAGAGUGCUCACCUAGCAUGUGCGAGGCCCUGGGUUUGAUCCUCAGCACCA
rnacentral:tRNA from 1 species